UUUUCUUCUUUCUCAUUAUUCUUCAUCUCGUCUCUUCUUUCUUCCCCUGUUCUUCAUCUUCUUCUUUUUCUUAUUCUGCUUCUCGCCUUUGGCGAUUCCGAGAAUUAAUUUGAGAGAAUCAAUUAAUGAAGUUUAUUCAAUGAUACCGUUAGACGAUGAGGAAGAUAGUUUGGUUGUUGGGUGUGAAGUAAAACAGUUGGGGUUCGAAUCUGAGACGAUCUAAGUUAGGGCUAUAAAUUUGAUUUAGGUUCUGAAUAUUUUAAGGAUGAAAUUUAGAGUUAUGAUUGAUGGAAGAACAAAGGGUUAUCUUUUAAUUGAAGUUUAGAAGUGAUUUUGAUGAGAACUGAAAGGUUAGGAUUUCUGAAAAGAGUGGACUUGAUUAGGGGAUUUAGACGAAAUUGAAUAUGAAACUGGAUGAUUAAGGAUGGGUUUUUAGAAUAUGUUAUGAAGAACAAGAUUAAUUUGAGAUUGUUGAAGUUAGGUUUGGUUCUGUUUUUAAUGAAGGUUUGGCAAUUUAAUUAGGUUUUGGUUGAGAACUAGUGUUGCUGAUGAAAGCUAGGGAUCGAUUAUAUCAGUAAGAAGAUGUUUAAGCUAUUGUUGUUUUGUGGUUGAUUAAACCGAACUGGUAGAUUUGUUGCUGUCUUAAGAUGGCCUGUUGGAUCAAGUCAAGCAAGAAAGGGGAAUUGAUCUCAAUUUGCUGGAAUGAAUCUAUAUUGAGGUAAAUAAUGUUCUUAUCAGUAGAAUUGGUUCAUGUUCAUUAUUGAGAAUAUGUGAAUGCUUAUGAAGUUAAGUUACAGAGUUAUUGGGUUCUGUUAGUUGUUUUUCCUAAUCGUUGACGAAUCUAAGACCUGAGAUGGAUAUGAAUUGGAGAUGCUGAAACUAAUGUAACUGGUGGAGGUAUUUACAGGAUGUAAUGAAUUAGAAUGAUAACAGGGUUGGUAAGAAUUCAUAAAAGAUGAAAUUAAGUUUAGUUGGUAUGGUUGAAAUGGAACUGUUGUUGUAGAAUAAGUUUGUAUAUGUGAUUGAUGUGAAGUUCUUCUUGAAUUGAAUGUAUGUGUGCUGGAACUCUGAAGGCUAUGUAUUAGAUGGCUGCAGUUUAUAGAAUUUGAUUGUACAUAUGGAUUUUGAGUAACAAAUAUUGUAGUGCUGAGUUAGUGGUAUGCAGUGACAGUGUGAUUGCAUGGAGUUGUGGUAGUGUUGCAGAUUGUUUAGGCAGGAUUCAAAUGAGUUAGAAUGGAUGAGAUUCAGCGAAGAUAUGAAUGAACUGAGGUUAGUUUGUAUGGAACAAAUGGUGGUGCUGAUGUUGCUUAACUGAUUGUAUUGGGUUGAGAUACAAAUUGAGCUUAAUCAGAUUAGUAUAUUGAGAUGGUAGUGUGUUUGUGUUUAUGAUAUGGGUUUGAAUUGAUCUGAGGUAGUAAUUUGGUAUUGAUGUACGUGACAGGGAAGAUUUAAGUUGAACGAUGAAGUGUGUAAGUUGGGGAAAUGAAAGAUAUGUGGAGUUCAGGUCUAAGGAGUGGUGGUUCAGUUAUUAGUUGUGUUGGGCUGCAACUGUAGUUAGCAUAUGGAGUGUAGAUUAGAAGAUGAAUCUGAAUUAGCUUGUGCUGAAUUGAAUCUCUCCAGUGGGAGAUUGUAACUGCAAUUGCAGUUUCAGAGACAGAUCAAGAUGUAUCAGAGUUGCGCAGCGAAAGCUUCGAGGAGUUGAUUACGUUAUUUAGAUUGCUUCCGCUAUAUUUUAUUUGGUGUUUAUAUUUUUUUGUAAAUAAACUAACUAUUGAAUAUGUAUCAUUGGAGAGGAGUUAUUGUAUAUAUAUAUUUCUGAGUGGGGAUAGCUCUUGGGUUAA